rnacentral:lncRNA from 1 species
UUAAGGGUUGGAAGAUUUAUAUGUUAGUUUAAACUCUACGUUUUAUUGUUUAUGUUAUUAACUUGGCAACCUUGACCGUUGUUGUUUGUGUUUCCAAGCAUAGGAGGUUUAGCACUUCAUACUAGAGUGUCGAUAUUUGAUGGCUGAUUUUUGGGAUUUGUUUUAUUUCUUAAUUUUUUUCCGUUUGCUUGCUGGAGAACUAGACUUAGCAAAUGUAGUUAUAAUAUGUUUGUAUCAGAUAAUCUAGACUUAGUGCGAUUCUUUCAACUUGCACUUCAGUAUAUUUGAUCAAUUGUUUCAACUUGGCAGCGUGUAUUUGGGGUGGCAACUCUUGAGAAAACAGCUCAUGAUGACAUCAAAAAGCUUGCCUCAGCUGUAUAUUUGCAAGUGAGCAUUAUAAGUCAGGCCCUAAUAUUUGUAACUCGAUCUAGAAGUUGGUCCUUUGUUGAGCGUCCGGGUUUACUACUAUUGGCGGC